ACAAACAACUACUCCCUGAUAAAAACACACGGUUAAAUAGCUCUCUUAGAGAUGUAAUGACCUCAUUAUCCAACCUCCUUCCUGUCAGUAGACUUAAUACUAUAAAAACUAAAGCGUUCACGAGGCUUACCACUCGAUCAAGCGACUUCAUUUGAAAUCUGGGAAAUGGCAGGUUUUAGACUAAGACAGCUUGUUCUCGUUUUUCUUUUAGUUCUUCUCCUACAAUGCUUCUGCUUUAGGGAAACACAUUCCUUCCACAUUAUGGUGAAACCAACACCGAGGAGUGGCAAAAGAGUGGCACAAUCUAGUGAAGACUUCUGCAACAAUGCAAGAAAAUACUGCACAAGAAAAUGGCAGCAAGAACAAGUCAGGGGAGCCGACAGAAUGAUGUUUUACCAGAGUCGAACACAAAACGACGAGUAAAGCGCUGAACCGAAGAUAAGGAGAGAAGACAAGUCGAAAGACCCGGCUUAUCCCGGCUUGAUUGAAAAUGCAAUUAUCUGUUAAAAUGAACAUUAUGCUAAGCUGAAGGUGUGUCUUUGACAACAACAACUUAUGCCACAGUGAAAGUGGCUAUAAUUUUCGAUAAAUAUAUUUUUCCAAAAAUA